AACGAACGCUGGCGGCAGGCCUAACACAUGCAAGUCGAGCGCCCCGCAAGGGGAGCGGCGGACGGGUGAGUAACGCGUGGGAAUAUGCCCUUUGCUACGGAAUAGUCUCGGGAAACUGGGGGUAAUACCGUAUACGCCCUUUGGGGGAAAGAUUUAUCGGCGAAGGAUUAGCCCGCGUUGGAUUAGGUAGUUGGUGGGGUAAUGGCCUACCAAGCCGACGAUCCAUAGCUGGUUUGAGAGGAUGAUCAGCCACACUGGGACUGAGACACGGCCCAGACUCCACGGGGGGCGGGAGGGGGGAAACUUUAAAAAAGGGGGGAACCCCGACUCUGGCCAGCCGGGGGAAGGAAGAAGGGCUUUGGGUUGAAAAGCCCCUUUCGGUGGGAAAGAAAAUGCGGGAACAAGAAGAAGAACCCCGGGUAACCCCGG
rnacentral:rRNA from 1 species